rnacentral:rRNA from 1 species
UGGGGGUAGAGCACUGUUUCGGCUAGGGGGUCAUCCCGACUUACCAACCCCAUGCAAACUCCGAAUACCGCGGAGUACAAUCAUGGCAGACAGACGGCGGGUGCUAACGUCCGUCGUCAAGAGGGAAACAACCCAGACCGCCAGCUAAGGCCCCUAAGUUCUAGUUAAGUGGGAAAGGAUGUGGGAGCACACAGACAACCAGGAGGUUGGCUUAGAAGCAGCCACCCUCUAAGGAAAGCGUAAUAGCUCACUGGUCAAGUGAACCUGCGCCGAAAAUAUAACGGGGCUCAAACUAGACGCCGAAGCUGCGGACUACGUUUUACGUAGUGGUAGAGGAGCAUUCCAGUCGCCUGUGAAGGGAUACCGUGAGGAGUCCUGGAGGUUCUGGAAGAGAGGAUGCUGACGUGAGUAACGAUCAAUGGGGUGAGAAUCCCCAUCGCCGAAUACCGAAGGGUUCCUGGGCCAGGCUCGUCCUCCCAGGGUUAGUCGGGACCUAAGGCGAGGCCGAAAGGCGUAGUCGAUGGAAAGCAGGCAAACAUUCCUGCACCAUCUUUUUGGAUGCUCGAGCACGAGAAGGGACGGAGAAGGUUAGGUUCGCCGGCUGUUGGAUAUGCCGGUGUAACCCCGUAGGAUGGCUGAGUUGGAGGUUUCGUACCACAAACGCUCGGCUAGAUCUGAGAGGGGAUGCAGAGCGGCUCGCAUCUGAGCUGCUGAAUCAAUGAAUCGAUACCAUACUUCCAAGAAAAGCUUCGCGUGUGAGUCCAAUUAGAUGCCCGUACCAAAACCGACACAGGUUGGUAGGUGGAGUACACCAAGGCGCGUGAGAGAACCCUGGUUAAGGAACUCGGCAAAUUGACACCGUAACUUCGGGAGAAGGUGUGCCUCCAAGGUGAAGCAUUAGCUUGUGGAGCCAGCGGAGGUUGCAGAGAAGAGGGGGUAGCGACUGUUUACCAAAAACACAGGACUCUGCGAAAUCGUGAGAUGACGUAUAGGGUCUGACGCCUGCCCGGUGCCGGAAGGUUAAGAGGAGCGGUUAG